rnacentral:rRNA from 1 species
GAGUUUGAUCCUGGCUCAGGACGAACGCUGGCGGCGUGCUUAACACAUGCAAGUCGAACGGAGUGCCUAUGAAGGAGAUUUCGGUCAACGGAAUAGGCUGCUUAGUGGCGGACGGGUGAGUAACGCGUGAGGAACCUGCCUUUCAGAGGGGGACAACAGUUGGAAACGACUGCUAAUACCGCAUAACACAUAGGUGUCGCAUGGCAUUUAUGUCAAAGAUUUAUCGCUGAAAGAUGGCCUCGCGUCUGAUUAGCUAGUUGGUGAGGUAACGGCUCACCAAGGCGACGAUCAGUAGCCGGACUGAGAGGUUGGCCGGCCACAUUGGGACUGAGAUACGGCCCAGACUCCUACGGGAGGCAGCAGUGGGGAAUAUUGGGCAAUGGGCGCAAGCCUGACCCAGCAACGCCGCGUGAAGGAAGAAGGCUUUCGGGUUGUAAACUUCUUUUGACAGGGAAGAGUAGAAGACGGUACCUGUCGAAUAAGCCACGGCUAACUACGUGCCAGCAGCCGCGGUAAUACGUAGGUGGCAAGCGUUGUCCGGAUUUACUGGGUGUAAAGGGCGUGUAGCCGGGUUGACAAGUCAGAUGUGAAAUCCUGCGGCUUAACCGCAGAACUGCAUUUGAAGCUGUUGAUCUUGAGUACUGGAGAGGCAGACGGAAUUCCUAGU